GUUUAGUCCGUGAAACUGUAAACCGUGAAAAUUGGGAAGGUCUGAAGUACAACGGAAUAGCCAAGGCAAAGCAAUUGCUUGAGAAUGAAAUGGUAUGUCUUGGUUCUAUGUUUUAGACUAUUGGAUAUCGGCAGUAAAUAGCUCUGCAGCCAUGUUUUGAAAAGACUCUACCAAUUUCAAUUGUCACUUCAGCGUAUGUUGUCCACAUCUGAAUGUGAUCAUCCAGUAGCCACCACCUUGUCUAGAUUAUUCAGUCUAUUUGUCCAUCUUCCUUGUGUCACUGGAAAAGAUAAUAAAAUAUGCGUGAUUCUUAUGGAGGAUCUGAAAUUUAAUGCAUAAUGCAAGACUUGCCUUGAAUUGUGGAAAAGUAAAGCUUGGGGCUGCCGAUUGAUGUGCGGAAUGUUCAACGCUUGUGCCGAAAAUGCUUUACAAGUUGCAUCAAUUCUCAGACGAAUGCUACAAUGGAUAAGAUGUUCAUUCCUCGAUGACAAUAGAUACUUAACAGAUCCAGCUUCUAUUAAAAGCUGGAUGUUCCUAGCCAUAUUUUCCUCCUGAAGCCGUCGAACUUUCCAAAUCUAGGAUUGAAUACUCGCAAGUUAUUUGAUUCCCAGUCUUAAAACUUGGAGCAGCAAUGCUGUAUAAAGAAUCCUUGAUGCAAUAUUGACUUGUCACGGGUGAUAUAUUUUUAAUUUAAAUUAGCUCUGUUAAAUUUGUAAAAGUAUAUUGAAUAUCUUUGGAGCAAGUUCACAAUCUUAUCUCACUGAUCAGUCCUUAAUAUUUUGAAUGUAGAGUUGUCACUUUGAAAUUCUGCUAAUACGCAUGUGCACGCAGUAUCUACUUGCUAUCUGUUGCUAUCGAUAUUGAUCAUAAAUGAACUGUUUAUGCUUUCAAAUAUCUAUUAAAUCUUGUAAUUCAAACUGCAAAACUGAAGUAAAUACUCGAAUUUAGGAAUUCAUAGCCCAAGCGGAGAGAACGCCCGAUCAAAUUUACAAAAACUUAAACGCAAAAAUUAAUUCGCCAUUCAAAAUUACAUUAUGUAAACUGCUAGAAAAGUUUGUAGAACUCCUCCAGUAUUGCAUAAUCAUGAAAACAAAUUCUUAUCAUAGAUCAAUUGAACAUCAGUUUGUAUGCAGUAGUUUUGCUCUCCUGAUUUCAAAUGCAUCUUGUUUGCAUCAGUUAUAAAUCUGUCUCAGACAAGUACAUGAAUGUUCUUUAAAUAUCAAGGAGUAUCAUAGUGCAUGCCACAUAUUCCACAAAUCUCCUUCAAGUAGUAAUAAAAUGAAUACUAAAUAAGUUCUUUCUAGUAUCCCACUUUUAAAUGAAUUGAAAUUAUGCAGUGGAAAUCCUUGUAAAUUAAUAAUUGAUGCAAUAACAGUGGGUUUAGAGAAAGCAAUUGGUGAAGCAGUACCGGCAAGUCAUUCUUCAAGCAUGAAUAUUUAGAGAGCAUUUCGUGAGUAAUAUUCCGCGAGCGCAUAUAACAAAUGGUACUUCGAGCUAUUCAAUUCGAACACGAGCCGCGUUCGUUAAGUCGAAAACCCAAUCAAGCCAACGCAUUUGAGCAUUUUAGAGAGCUCCAUGCAGGGUUCUUUUCAAAGCUUCUGAAAACCUGUACGUGAUUAAAUUGCGCGCGUGUAAACUAAAUUAAAUGCUUCAGUGCCAGCUUAAGUUAAUUUCGGUGUAUAUUGAAUAAUUAGGUUCAAUUAGAUCUUUUAAAAUCGGAUUUUUCCAAUGUUAAAAGUGUGAAGCUAAGUUUCUUUAUAAAAAUGAGGCGCACUAUAGGAAUAUAGGGCAAGAUUUAAAACAUUGGGUGUCAGUACCAAAUGCGAUAGUUUGCAGGGACAAAGGGAACACAAUCGUUAAUAACGAAAAAAUCCGACAUUGUCUAGUAACAAACUUCAAGCAUCCACGUGUAGAAAUACUCGAUUAACAUCUUACAGAAUACUAACAUCUAACCAAUUUAUUUCUACGUAUUGUUUCACUUUAUCUUACGCUAAUAAGGUCGCGCGUUUUUCGCACAAAAAGCGAUUCGCUAAGAUUGUCUUGGAAACGAAUACUUAAAGGCAAAAUUGCCCU